GAUGAACGCUGGCGGUAUGCUUAACACAUGCAAGUCGAACGGACUCUUCGGAGUUAGUGGCGGACGGGUGAGUAACGCGUGAGAAUCUGGCUUUGGGUUCGGGACAACCACUGGAAACGGUGGCUAAUACCGGAUGUGCCGAGGGGUAAAAGAGAAAUUGCCUGAAGAUGAGCUCGCGUCUGAUUAGCUAGUUGGUGAGGUAAAGGCUCACCAAGGCAGCGAUCAGUAGCUGGUCUGAGAGGAUGACCAGCCACACUGGGACUGGGACACGGCCCAGACUCCUACGGGAGGCAGCAGUGGGGAAUUUUCCGCAAUGGGCGAAAGCCUGACGGAGCAAUACCGCGUGAGGGAAGAAGGCUCUUGGGUUGUAAACCUCUUUUCUUAGGGAAGAACAAAAUGACGGUACCUAAGGAAUCAGCAUCGGCUAACUCCGUG
rnacentral:rRNA from 1 species